GCACUGCUGAGGAGUCUGACGAAACGGCCGUCCAGUGC
rnacentral:hammerhead_ribozyme from 1 species